UUGUGCCACAACAACAUGCAUGUUGAAUGCAAUUCUCGUUUCAAUAGUUGAGGACUGAACAGUUUCUGCAUCAUUGGGAUUACUUCUAAUGCUCCGGAGAAGUUUGAAGCUGGUCUGAGGGAAAAAACAUCAAAAUGCAGCAUUUCAUAAGAAAGUUCAGGGUAGAUCUAUAUUGUGACUAAUCAUUUGUAGCUAAUCUUUAAAUAAUAAAGCUCUACCUCAUACUGCUUUGCUUGGGGCUCUGUUUCCUGUACAGAAGCUGUGUAUGGUAACUGUCACAGCUGUUCUUACUUUCAUUGCCACAUUAAUUCAUUUAAUUAAAGAGAAACAUAAGAAUUCACAAAGUAGAGACGGUAAAGAAAGCAGAAGAAUAAUAGCAGAAAACACUUACUCAAAUUGUUCGGCUUGCGGCUUUGUAUGCUGUGGAUUACUUUUAGUAGCCAUUAUAGCUCUUGUAUCGUUCAUUGUCAUGUUUUCUUUCUUAUUU